rnacentral:rRNA from 1 species
UACGGAGGGAGCUAGCGUUGUUCGGAAUUACUGGGCGUAAAGCGCACGUAGGCGGCUUUGUAAGUUAGAGGUGAAAGCCCGGGGCUCAACCCCGGAAUUGCCUUUAAGACUGCAUCGCUUGAAUCCAGGAGAGGUGAGUGGAAUUCCGAGUGUAGAGGUGAAAUUCGUAGAUAUUCGGAAGAACACCAGUGGCGAAGGCGGCUCACUGGACUGGUAUUGACGCGUGAGGUG